CCGAGUUUACAACUCCCAAACCCCCAUGUGAACGCUACCAAACUGUUGCUUCGGCGGGAUCUCUGCCCCGGGCGCGUCGCAGCCCCGGACCAAGGCGCCCGCCGGGGGAAAACCAACCAAAAACCCUUGCAUCGCCCGCUCGCGGGUGUCUUACCUCUGAGAACUUCUCGGCGCCCCUCGGCGGGCGUUCCGAAAAUGAAUCA
rnacentral:misc_RNA from 1 species